AUUUCAGGAGGACACUUCCUGAUUAGAGCCUUGUACCUCUCCCAUGCCUCAUAGAUGGGUUCAGCAUCCAUUUGUGUGAAUGUUGGUACCUCAGUCUUCAACCU